AGGCAAUUAGUUUAAAGAAAACCUUUGAUUUCGGCUCAAAAACUUAUGGUUAAAGUCCUUAAUUGCCUA
ensembl:Mt_tRNA